UACGUAGGGUGCGAGCGUUGUCCGGAAUUACUGGGCGUAAAGAGCUCGUAGGCGGUGUGUCGCGCCGGCCGUGAAAACCUGCAGCUUAACUGUGGGCUUGCGGUCGAUACGGGCAUCACUGGAGUUCGGCAGGGGAGACUGGAAUUCCUGGUGUAGCGGUGAAAUGCGCAGAUAUCAGGAGGAACACCGGUGGCGAAGGCGGGUCUCUGGGCCGAUACUGACGCUGAGGAGCGAAAGCGUGGGGAGCGAACAGG
rnacentral:rRNA from 1 species